rnacentral:ncRNA from 1 species
UUACUUAUAUCUCUCAUAUAUACUCGGGAAUAUGGCCCGGACGUUUCUACCCAAUAACCGUAAAUUGUUGGACUAUGAGAGAAAGUGC